CUGUUUGAAUGGUGUCUGUGAGUUUAACAGAACUCAUUUGGCAGGCCAAAACCUGAGAAGAUUCCAAACAGGAAGCGCCCUCUCUGACUAUUUCUUGGCCUUCUUGAUCAUCUCUAUCCAAAACAGGGGAUCUCUGCUGUAACGUGACAUUUUCAAACGCUCCCAUAGGCUCUCAGAAGGCGCCAGAAUGUUGAUUGAUGACUUUGCAGGCCAUGAUUGAAAAACAGUAGCGCAUUUGGAUAGUGGUCGAUCUAAGAACAAUAAGACUGGGGGCGCGUGCACGACUCCAUGUUUUUAUUUUUUCGUCUUACAACGAAAACAGGGUUUCCCGGACGGAAUAUUAUCGCUUUUUUAUGAGAAAAAUCAUAUAAAAAUUGAUUUUAAACAGCGGUUGACAUGCUUCGAAGUACGGUAAUGGAAUAUUUUGACAUUUUUUUGUCACGAAACGCGCUGGGCGCGUCACCCUUCUUUACCCUUCGGAUAGUGUCUUGAACGCACGAACAAAACGCCGCUAUUUGGAUAUAACUAUGGAUUAUUUGGAACCAAACCAACAUUUGUUAUUGAAGUAGAAGUCCUGGGAGUGCAUUCUGACGAAGAACAGCAAAGAACCACCCACCACAAGAAGACCAAGCAGCGUGGUAUGGAGGAACAGAGGGUUAUGGACUCCUGGACUUGGGAGAUGAUUUUGGACGGAAAGGGACCCUGGACAACGCCUGGGGAGUAUCGCCGCCCGCAGUGGGAGAUCGAGGCAGCGAAGGCGGAACGGCGAUACUGGGAGGAACAGGCAAG
rnacentral:lncRNA from 1 species